rnacentral:rRNA from 1 species
AGCCUGCGGUUUAAUCGGACUCAACGCCGGGAAACUCACCAGAUAAGACAGCUGAAUGAUAGUCGGGCUGAAGACUCUACUUGACUAGCUGAGAGGAGGUGCAUGGCCGUCGUCAGUUCGUACUGUGAAGCAUCCUGUUAAGCAGGCAACGAGCGAGACCCACGCCAACAGUUGCCAGCAUGUCCUCCGGGAUGAUGGGGACACUGUUGGGACCGCCUCUGCUAAAGAGGAGGAAGGAAUGGGCAACGGUAGGUCAGCAUGCCCCGAAUUAUCCGGGCUACACGCGGGCUACAAUGGUCAGGACAAUGGGUAUCGACACCGAGAGGUGGAGGCAAUCUCCUAAACCUGUCCUUAGUUCGGAUUGUGGGCUGCAACUCGCCCACAUGAAGCUGGAAUCCGUAGUAAUCGCGUUUCAAAUAGCGCGGUGAAUAUGUCCCUGCUCCUU